AUACGGAGGGUGCAAGCGUUAUUCGGAAUCACUGGGCGUAAAGGGUGCGUAGGCGGUUUGAUAAGUCUGAUGUGAAAUCCUAUGGCUCAACCAUAGAACUGCAUUGGAAACUGGCAGACUAGAAUACUGAAGGGGCAGAUGGAAUUAGUGGUGUAGGGGUAAAAUCCGUAGAUAUCACUAGGAAUACCGAAAGCGAAAGCGAUCUGCUGGGAAGUUAUUGACGCUGAGGCACGAAAGCGUGGGGAGCAAACGGGAUUAGAAACCCUAGUAGUCC
rnacentral:rRNA from 1 species